AAGAAAGAAUUUCCCUUCAAAACGUACAAAUCUUUCGCCUUUUACUAAAGAUUUCCGUGGAGGGGAACACUCAAAUGAGUAUUCGCUGAAUUUCUUACGGCCACCACAAUGGUGGCCU
rnacentral:snRNA from 1 species